rfam:Oryza glumipatula chromosome 1, whole genome shotgun sequence.
AAUACGUGCAAUUUUGCACUGUUCAUAUUUAACGUUUGACCGUUCAUCUUAUUUGAAAUUUUUUUAUGAUUAAUAUUUUUAUUGUUAUUAGAUGAUAAAACAUCAAUAGUACUUUAUGUGCGUGUGUUCAUAGGGGUGAGUGGCGUGCAUUGUGAGUGUCUGCGUAGUACUGUGUAAUUCUAAAAAAAAGUACUUUAUGUGUGAUAUUUUUUUAAUUUUUUUCAUAAAUUUUUAAAUAAGAUGAACGGUCAAAGAUCAGACGUGGAUUUUCAUGGCUGCACUUAUU